GACGUAGGGCGCAAGCGUUGUCCGGAUUUAUUGGGCGUAAAGAGCUCGUAGGCGGCUUGUUGCGUCGUCCGUGAAAACCCGUGGCUCAACUGCGGGCUUGCGGACGAUACGGGCAGGCUGGAGUUCGGUAGGGGAGACUGGAAUUCCUGGUGUAGCGGUGAAAUGCGCAGAUAUCAGGAGGAACACCGGUGGCGAAGGCGGUUCUCUGGGCAUGUCCUGACGCUGAGGAGCGAAAGUGUGGGGAGCGAACAGG
rnacentral:rRNA from 1 species